CUUGCACUGCCUGGGAUUGCACCUUGGGCUGAGCCAAUCUUUCGUUCUGCUUGGGGAAGAAUAACAGCCGGGUUUCUCCAUAAAACAACAUCUCAGUUCAGAUGGGGACCCUGGCAGUAGCUCAGCACCUGUGUACUUGACUACUUACUGCUGACAAGCCCUGUUGCCGGUAAUCUAGAUUUAUGGUCCUUUGCUCCACCUUGGCUGCCGCACCAGCUGAUACAUGCUGCAGGGUGCACUUGCAUUCACCCUCCUGAUGACAUCCAGACUGCUGCAUUUGCUGCAUUAGGUUUAGAAUCAUAGAAUCAUUAACGUUGGAGAAGAUCAUCCUGUACAACCAUCAGCCCACUAAUCCACGAUCCUCAGUGUCAGUUCUGCUUUUGUUGUUGGACUGGCUGAAGCCUUUCUCCCACAUACAGCAGGCAGACCUGUCCAGUCUAGGAACAACUUUCACCAUCCUACACUUACAAAAAUAAUGUUUUGACUCUGUCUGUGGAACGACCACUUUGCUGUGGGCAGCAGAAAUUUUUUACAGGUGGCGGCAAUACCACAUUGAGCAGUUUGGUGGUUUUAGAAAGGCAAUAAAAAAGCCUAACUUCUUAGUGGAAAAAAUAGGUUGGCCUUAACAUUUUAACCUAAUACUGUCAGACAUGUCGAACCAGAAAUAACACUCCUAAAGCCCUGACGUGCUCUCUUGCGAUUCUGUUUGCGUAGCAAAGUGGCACAAAUAGUGACAUGCCAGGCUUGUGGGCGCUGCAGUCAUACAGGUUUUCCCUAUAAUUAUUGGCUGUUAA
rnacentral:lncRNA from 1 species